GAUGAAGAACGUAGCGAAAUGCGAUACGUAAUGUGAAUUGCAGAAUUCAGUGAAUCAUCGAAUCUUUGAACGCACAUUGCGCCCGCCAGCAUUCUGGCGGGCAUGCCUGUUCGAGCGUCAUUUCAACCCUCGAGCCCCCCCGGGGGCCUCGGUGUUGGGGGACGGCACACCAGCCGCCCCCGAAAUGCAGUGGCGACCCCGCCGUAGCCUCCCCUGCGUAGUAGCACACACCUCGCACCGGAGCGCGGAGGCGGUCACGCCGUAAAACGCCCAACUUUCUUAGAGUUGACCUCGGAUCAGGUAGGAAUACCCGCUGAACUUAAGCAUAUCAAUAAGCGGAGGA
rnacentral:misc_RNA from 1 species